rnacentral:sRNA from 1 species
GGCGUAUUCAGGGACCAGCUAGAGAGGAGUGAGUGACAAGCAGUGAUGGGUCAGGCCCAACAAGACCCUUGUGGUGUGGGAUAAGAAAUUCGUGUUCCACUCUGAGGGCCAUGGGAGCCCCUUAGGGUCUUACUCCAUGGUGGGAGCUGCUCACUCACAUUUUCAGACAGAUCAUUUAGCAACUGACUCCUCCAACCCAAAACAAAGCUGCCUUUAUAGGGCCCACAGCUAGUCUGUCUCCAGCCCAGGCCGGUUAGAAAAGGAAUGCACCCCAUUCGGACUCCACAAAACCCCGCAAGGCAUGUCCACGCAGGCCUGGGGCUGGCUUCCAGUCCAGAGCAAGCGCUCUUCCUCCCGCAUGAGCCUCAGGCCGGCCCGGCCGCCCUCCCUGCGUCUUUCACUCUCUCCUGCCUCUCUCUCUCUUUCUCUCUCUCUCUGUGCAGAUAUUGUGGGCACUCUGAGGCCAGAUGAGAAGGCCAUCAUGACUUACGUGUCCUGCUUCUACCACGCUUUCUCGGGGGCUCAGAAGGCUGAAACUGCCGCCAACCGGAUCUGUAAGGUGCUGGCUGUCAACCAAGAGAACGAGCACCUGAUGGAGGACUACGAGAAGCUGGCCAGCGACCUCCUGGAGUGGAUCCGGCGCACCAUCCCCUG